rnacentral:rRNA from 1 species
AUUGAACGCUGGCGGCAGGCUUAACACAUGCAAGUCGAGCGAGCGGCGGACGGGUGAGUAAUGUCUGGGAAACUGCCUGAUGGAGGGGGAUAACUACUGGAAACGGUAGCUAAUACCGCAUACCAUCAGAUCUGCCCCUAUGGGAUUAGCUUUUAGGUGGGGUAAUGGCUCACCUAGGCGACGAUCCCUAGCUGGUCUGAGAGGAUGACCAGCCACACUGGAACUGAGACACGGUCCAGACUCCUACGGGAGGCAGCAGUGGGGAAUAUUGCACAAGGGGCGCAAGCCUGAUGCAGACAUGCAGCGUGUGUGAAGAAGGCCUUCGGGUUGUAAAGCACGUUCAGCGAGGAGGCGUUAAUCGCAGAAGAAGCACCGGCUAACUCCGUGCCAGCCGGCGCGGUAAUAG